rnacentral:rRNA from 1 species
UACGUAGGGUGCGAUCGGUAAUCGGAAUUACUGGGCGUAAAGCGUGCGCAGGCGGUUGUGUAAGACAGGCGUGAAAACCCCGGGCUCAACCUGGGAAUGGCGCUUGUGACUGCAAGGCUGGAGUGCGGCAGAGGGGGAUGGAAUUCCGCGUGUAGCAGUGAAAUGCGUAGAUAUGCGGAGGAACACCGAUGGCGAAGGCAAUCCCCUGGGCCUGCACUGACGCUCAUGCACGAAAGCGUGGGGAGCAAACAGG